AUGAACGCUAGCUACAGGCUUAACACAUGCAAGUCGAGGGGCAGCAUUUUAGUUUGCUUGCAAACUGAAGAUGGCGACCGGCGCACGGGUGAGUAACACGUAUCCAACCUGCCGAUAACUCCGGGAUAGCCUUUCGAAAGAAAGAUUAAUACCGGAUAGCAUACGAAUAUCGCAUGAUAUUUUUAUUAAAGAAUUUCGGUUAUCGAUGGGGAUGCGUUCCAUUAGUUUGUUGGCGGGGUAACGGCCCACCAAGACAACGAUGGAUAGGGGUUCUGAGAGGAAGGUCCCCCACAUUGGAACUGAGACACGGUCCAAACUCCUACGGGAGGCAGCAGUGAGGAAUAUUGGUCAAUGGGCGAGAGCCUGAACCAGCCAAGUAGCGUGAAGGAUGAAGGCUCUAUGGGUCGUAAACUUCUUUUAUAUGGGAAUAAAGUAUUCCACGUGUGGAAUUUUGUAUGUACCAUAUGAAUAAGGAUCGGCUAACUCCGUGCCAGCAGCCGCGGUAAUACGGAGGAUCCGAGCGUUAUCCGGAUUUAUUGGGUUUAAAGGGAGCGUAGGUGGAUUGUUAAGUCAGUUGUGAAAGUUUGCGGCUCAACCGUAAAAUUGCAGUUGAAACUGGCAGUCUUGAGUACAGUAGAGGUGGGCGGAAUUCGUGGUGUAGCGGUGAAAUGCUUAGAUAUCACGAAGAACUCCGAUUGCGAAGGCAGCUCACUAGACUGUCACUGACACUGAUGCUCGAAAGUGUGGGUAUCAAACAGGAUUAGAUACCCUGGUAGUCCACACAGUAAACGAUGAAUACUCGCUGUUUGCGAUAUACAGUAAGCGGCCAAGCGAAAGCAUUAAGUAUUCCACCUGGGGAGUACGCCGGCAACGGUGAAACUCAAAGGAAUUGACGGGGGCCCGCACAAGCAGUGGAGUAUGUGGUUUAAUUCGACGCAACGCGAAGAACCUUACCAAGGCUUGACAUAUACAGGAAUAUAUAAGAGAUUAUAUAGCUCUUCGGAGUCUGUAUACAGGUGGUGCAUGGUUGUCGUCAGCUCGUGUCGUGAGAUGUUGGGUUAAGUCCCGCAACGAGCGCAACCCUUAUCUUUAGUUACUAACAGGUCAUGCUGAGGACUCUAGAGAGACUGCCGUCGUAAGAUGUGAGGAAGGUGGGGAUGACGUCAAAUCAGCACGGCCCUUACGUCCGGGGCUACACACGUGUUACAAUGGGGGGUACAGAAGGCAGCUACCUGGUGACAGGAUGCUAAUCCCAAAAACCUCUCUCAGUUCGGAUCGAAGUCUGCAACCCGACUUCGUGAAGCUGGAUUCGCUAGUAAUCGCGCAUCAGCCAUGGCGCGGUGAAUACGUUCCCGGGCCUUGUACACACCGCCCGUCAAGCCAUGAAAGCCGGGGGUACCUGAAGUACGUAACCGCAAGGAGCGUCCUAGGGUAAAACUGGUAAUUGGGGCU
rnacentral:rRNA from 1 species